CUAACUCUGCAACAAGCUUGGCGAAUUUAAGCUUGGUGUGAGAUUAUUAAAGGCUGCAACUCCUCCAAUAAUUUGCAAUUGCAGCUUUCUGCCGUAAGGAUAGCCCUCUAAGUGGAAGAAGUGUGGGCAAACAGGAGCAACCCUCAUGGACAGCUGAGCUUUUUCAGAAAUCUCUUUGCACUUCCUGGUUUCAGCCAUAACCAGAAGGUGAAGUACUCAAUUGAGAGAGAGAGAGUCUGCCAUACAG